AGCAAACAGCCAAGUGACGUUUUUUUUACAGACACCAAUUGCUCAUAUAUUCAUUGAGUUUUUUUUAUAUAGAAAAGUAAAUAUUGUUUAAGUAAGUAACACAUACCCCAAUUAUCUUUUUGAUACCCCAAUUAUCUGCCUGGCUCAAAAAAGUCAUAUGCCUGGGUGCCAUUUACUUUUGAAUAGCAUUUAGUGAGUUUAAUAUUUUAGCUUUGUGUGGAAAUCAGAAUUGUUUUGUGAAUCCUUAAAAUACUCCUUCUGGAAACGCCUUACAGUGUGAAAAAAUAGGAGCUAGUAACUAUUAUAUUUUGGAUCGUUAGUGGUGUUUUGAGUGGAAGAAAUUUGUUUUUAAAUUUCAGAAACAAGAUUACUUGCUCCGUUUUGCCUGGAAAAAGUCUUGUAUUUUGAUUAGUUUGAGUACAGCUUGUAUUCACUGUGACCUUAAUCAAAUGGACUCAAUAGCAUAGCUCAAUAGAUGAAAAUCUUGAAUCAAUAGUUCAUCUAUUUUGGUAAUUCUAUUUUGAAACUGGGAGUACUGCAUAGAAAUAUUAAACAAAAUGAUUGCAUGGUUUGUUUAUUGAAAGUCAUUUUAUGAUUAUAAUUGACGGCUAAUGAAAAUCCAAAAUUCAGCAACAUUGUGGGCUCUGGUUUCUAAUCUUCCCCUUGUCAAAAGCUCAUAAGUUCUCAAUUGUGUUUAAGUCAGACAGGUUUGCUGGCCCACCAAGCACUGUUGAUAACAUAGUCUUCAAACCGGGUAUUUAGGUACUUCUAGCUGUAUGGGCAGUCCUGGCAACCCUGCAAGUCCUAAAAUGAAAAUCAAUUCAAUUUAUAUAGUUGGUUUAUUUAUAUAGUACAUACAUCCACAGUAGAGGUGUGCCGAUCGAUUGGCCACCGAUCAUAGUUGGCCGAUUUCCGUGAAAAACUGUAUGACUGGUGAUCGCCGAUCACUGUCUUGUGUUGCCAGUCACCAAAACCGAUCACCUGUAUCUCACUCUGCAGCCUGCAUAUUAUUUGAGGGCAGGAGGACUAAUAUUCACAUUCAGAGCACUGUUUCUGCUCCACCAGACAGUGAACUCUCCCAUUGAACGUCUGCUUAAAGCUGCAGCAUGUAACUUAAACAAACAAAAGAUUUUAAAUAUAUUAAAACUUUCGCUAUGUCCUAACAUAAGACAGUUAAUCUCUGAAAAAAACAUGGAUCUCCUCUUCCUCCUCCUGGCAUUCUGCAGAUUUACUCUGCUUGGUCAGAAACAGCCAAUCAGAACCAGCAUUAAUCAUCUAGUCAUGCUCUCAGGAAAUUUUGAUUUAGUAACUCAGGAUUGUUUAUUUUAAUGUUUCCUUUUUUACAUGACAUUAUUUGAUAUAGGCAGUGUUGUGAGAUUUACUUGACUCAUGUAUAAUUUAGGCUAAGAGCCUUACAGUUAAAAAUAAUUUUUCCUUUUGACUGAAUACCUGCUGCGUUGUGCCUACAAGUAUUUUGCACGUUUUAUGUCUAAAUUAGAUGAAUUUAUUACCAGAUGAUUUCUCAAAUAUAUCAGAUCACAAAGUAACAUUUAUACCCAACGCAAAAAAUUAACAGACAGUCCAGACGAUCAGCAAUGAUUGGUGAUCAGCAGUGAUCGGCCCUCAUGCAUAAUCGAAAUUGGAUGAUCGGAGCAUCCCUAAUUCCCAGUGAUCCUAGUUAUCAAGCAGUAUCCAAUUUUAUUCAUUUAGAAAUUCUAAGGAAACCCAGCAGACUGCCUUGACUUAGAGCAUCCACGCCUCUGGAUGAGCACAUAUCACUGGAUACUGUAUACAGUAUACACAGUGUGUCAUUUAUAUUGCAGCAGUCCCUCAUUCUGAACAUACAUGUAGCGACAGUAAAGAGGAAAAACUCACUCAGUGAAUUCAGACAUCAGCAUUUCUAUAAAGCUUCUAAGAGGAUGGUUACACAAAUUCCUGUGAAAUAUUCUUAGAGCGGACUAGUCUGAUUUAGGACUUUAUAAAACGCAGUCAACCAAAAUCAGCAGAUGACAUGGCUCUACAAAUCCUUGCCAAUUGUUGGAACUGCACAUAGAACUUGAAGCAGUGUAUAUUCUGUGCUUCUUCACUCAUCCUCCAGAUUAUGGGACCUUGAUUUCCAAAUGAAUUGCAAACUUUUAUUUAAAAAAUAAUCUUAGAGUCUUUGUUCCGUCUAGACAGUUGUAACCCAUGUGCUGGGUAUAUCGGUGUGACAUAACUCUUGACUUGACCUGGUUGAGAUGUCUUGGAAUCUCACCCAAAACUCGUGAAUGACCUGGAUCCUCCAAAAACUAGGCUUAUUCAUUUAACUUUUUCUUCCGGCCAACUUUCUAUUACCCGGUCUACAACCAGCUAUUUUAUUGAAAAUAUUUUAAGGCUUAACCUCCUUGUGGAGGGCUUGAAUGGUUGUUUGUUUGACAGCUGUCAAGUCAGCAGUCUUUUUGCUAAUUGUGUAGAUCAUAUUCCUUGUAACUUUUUUUAACUGGUGGGAUAUAAUAUUCAGAUUUUCCCUAAAACUGAAUUUUGGUUUUCUUUAGCUGUAAGCCAUAUUCUUAAAACAACUAGAAAUAAAGUUCUAUGAUAGGUCAUUCUGUGUAAACUAUGAGUUUCACUUUCUGAAUUGAAGUAUUGAAGAGGUUAAAUUAACCCCUACAAUGACAAUCUAAUUUAAUUGUAACUGUAAGGUCAUAUUUAUUUCCAUGUAGACUUGUUAACUUUGGAGCCAUGGAUACAUUUUAAUUGUCCAUUCCAAAAGUUCUCAAAACUUUUGCUUUGGAUUCUGUUUGUCCAGUGUGUGAAACAUAAGACCAAGUAGUUGGUUUCUUAAAGAUAACAGUUCUAUCCGUUAAUACUAACAUUUUAAAAUGAUUUAUUAUUGCUUAUUAUAAAAGCUAAAUUUUGCAGAGUAUGCAAGAUUUUGAACAUUGCAGAGUAUUUUAACUUUGCAUAGUUUAACACUUUGCAAAUAACAUCUAGGCUACAGUUUAGUUAUACAGUUUGACUGUGUAAUUGGUGUAUGCAGUAUUUAGAAAUGUCUGAUUUGAAUGUACAACUUAUAAAAUUAGCUUUUUGGCAUGACUGGCUUCAUAUCAAAGAGUACCCUCCAAAAACACUCCAAUAUGUCUUAAUUUCUGUUGUCAAUACAGCUGAUGAAGUGAGACAACUAAGAAAUAAUACUGUUGUAUUCCUAAUCUGCUUUGAAAACUAAUGAAAUUAAUGAAAAAAUUAUUUUAGCUAAAUAAAAUGCUAUCAGUCAAAGCAUUAAUUAAUGCAGUAGUUUUCCUAUGGCAUGCUCCUACAUGCUUAAAUAAAUCCAAAUACUGACUUUUUUUGGGCCAGGUGGUAUAUAACUAAUAAUAAUUUUGCCAAAUUGGAAACACAUUUUUCGGUCAAGGCCUAAUUUGUUGAAGCACCAAAGACCCUUCCAAAAUGUCUAGGAAAAAUGUUACAAUUGGUCUGCCUUGCAGAAGCAAAGACGUCCUUGGGGAAUUUGACUACUAACUUUGUUCCCUUGUUAUGUUGUUUUUAUAUUGGGGUUGAUCAAUGGGCUUUCUCAUCGAUGAUAUUGAGCUAAUGCUUACAGAUUUGAUAUGAUCUCAACCCUCUAAUUCUGCUCUUUCUUUUUUAACAUUUCCUCUCAAAACUAUGUAGUGUUAAACUGUACUAUUUAACCUAUUUUCUUGAUGUUUUACUAUAUGUAUAUAACAAUGCCAUUAACAAAUACUGAAAUUAUUUGUUGUACAAGUAAUAGAAUAGAAUAGAAUUACUUUAUUCAUCCCAGCAGGAUACAGCAUAGCUGUAACUGCGAAGUAUUGAUAAGCACUUGUGGUCCUCAUUUAACUUGUCCCGUUCACCUCAUUAGAGUUGGAAUUUGCAUAUCUCUUUCUACCUGUAUUUCUGAUGUCAUUAUUAGAUGGGAUAUGGGCCUGAAGUCACCCAGUUAUUCACUAAUCCAGACUCUGUGGUCGGGUGUUACCACUGACAUUGUGGCCUGUUUAGUUAGCCAGCCUGCAGUUUGGUUAACAGAUAUACUUGUUUAGACUUUUAGCAUGUCAACUUUACUUUCAAAACGAAGUGACCAGCUCAGCUAGUUUACUGAAACAUUAAAGGGAAGGGAAGUCUUUAGGUAGUCUGGCAUUUUAUUAAAGUGAUUUUAAGCAAUAUGACCGAAAAUGAUUGUUUUGAAACCAUUCCAUUUUAAAACAGUGGUAUAACUUGACACUGGUAAGAGGCCUUUACCUAGACUCAACAUACUGUCUCACAAAGCUAGUAACACUAUCAGGGUAGAGUUGGAUCUAAUUUGGUGGAACUUCAGUUUCUCUUAAUCCUUCUGAAAGUAUUGAUGACCCUGUGUCCUACCCAUGUAGAAAAUUCCAGAGUAAUUACUUGAUUACCAGGUAGCAUUCAUCACCAAUUACACAUGUAAAGAGACAAUUAUUAGUUGUCCAGUUUUUAGUACCCAAAUUAAUUGGGUCAUUUUCCGAGUAGAGUUCUUUUAAUGUUUGUAAAAAAUAAAUGGUGGUUCUAGAAUUAUGGAGGUUUUUAAGGGUUACCUUAGCUGAUUUUAAACAACACCUUUGGAGCUUAUGUUGAGUUACUAAAAUUAAUCUAGCAGUGCCAGCAUUUCUGGUAAAGACAGCACUUCAAUGAGCAAUCUACAUAGAAGGAGAUUUAGAUAUAAAGCAAUGCUGUUACAAGAUGACAACAGACUCACCAUGUAAUCGAGUUUGCAGAUUUGAAGAAAUGUUUGGGAGUUUGGGAAAGCUUGGGAGAUGCCAAGCAGACCAUGCCACACCCACAGUGAAGACAGAGGAGGAAGAAAAACUGUGAGCGGGUGGAUUUCUUCCUCUUUCUCAUUUCAACUAAAGAAACUGCAAAGGGCCGCCCCUAAGUGGAUUGGAGGUGCAGGACUUUAUUAUUUUAAGAUAUAUUUGGCGGGAAAAAUUAUAAAUGUGGUUGUGAGCCACAAUAAAGUAGAUGUGGAUUAAACCACUUAAAGUGCAUAGAAGUUGAUAUAAAUGCACUCAUGAAGUAUACUGAGUGAGAUUAUAGACUGAUAGGGUGGGUUUGACACCAUCAUGUGGCCAAAUAGGAUGACUACACCAUGGAUGCUGUCAGUCACCUCUGAGUUUCCUGUUUUCUUUUGAUUUUCAUAUGUACAAAAAUUGAAAAUGUCCCUAAAAUGUGGCAGUUUGGGCUAAAAAUUUGAAAAUUACAUCAAAUAACGAAACUUGCUUCCCCUUUAUAAUGUAUUUUUUUCAUGCUGUUUUGUUCAAGUAUAAGCGGAGAAAACAUUAAGAGCACUUAGUGUCAAAGUUUGAUUUGGUGUUAUUCAAACAAAUAAGCUCUGAUUCUUAGCAAACUUUGAAGAUCGACUAAUGCUGAUGUAUUGCACUGGUAUGAGCAAUUUCAUUAGAAUUGUGGGAGAUGCAGAUUUUUGUGUUAAAGUCAAACUUAUAAAAAUCAGAGUGAUGCAUAUGAAGAUAUGGCCAUAGAGCAGGAGUCACAACACGGUGCCCACAGGCACCCGGUCGCCCGAGGGGACGUUGUCAGUCGCCCGCAGAGCAAGUUCUAAAAAUAGUAGCUAUUGUCAUUAGGGAGCACUGCCAAAAAAAUAUUUAAUUAAAUGUUUUUACAUUGAAGUAAUAACUUUUGUUUAUAUUUAGAAUUUUAAAAAAGUCAAUUAUAAAAACGUUUAAAAUAAAUUGCUUUAUGUAUAAAGCUUUUUUCUAGGGUAAAGUUCAAAUUAUGCAAAGAUGCCUGCAGGAUAUUAUCGGAGGGCAGCAGCGCCUGCAGCUGUACGGCUCUACCCACUCUGCAUACCUUGAGAUCCUUUAAGUGAAAAAAGAAAAUAAUUUCUGGAAUUUUUAUUAUUUAACCCUCUUUACUAUUAACGAAAUUUUGGAGUAAAAAAAAGAUCUUUUGUGUCAAAAGAUAUUGUACGUACAGUACAUCUGUGUGAUUCUGUGGGGGUGGGCACACCAAAGCCUAAAUCUUAUUGGUAAGAUUGCUUUUGUUUAUUUGGCAGCUUGGCACUUUUUCUGUAAGCUUGAAAUGAACGAGCGGAGUUUGAACCUCCGGUAGUUCUUAGAGCGGUCGUUUGGAUCCCGCCAGAGUAGUUUUACCUUGUGGUCGAUUCUGACAGGUCAUUGGUUAAUGAGUUUAUUUGAUGUUUCCCGAACUGGAGAGCUGACAGGUCACCCGUUGACGGACAUCUGCUGCUCUUACUGAGCGUUGCGCUAAGACUGUGGCUUAAACUAUUUAAUCUAGUCGAAACGUUCCCCAAAAGACUAGAAAUUAAGCAAACAUUGUUGCUUCACCUUCUCCUCUGGACGUCUGACACCACCUGAACCUGGGAAUCAACAUCCUCCUGUUUCCGUGGAUCAGACAGGUAGGCUGCGCUUCCAUGUCUUUUCGGCUGCUUUUGUGGUUUAGGUUUGUGCUACGCGCACAUGAUGUGCGAUGGAGAGGUGGUUGUGCUUUUGCAGGUCAGGUGCAGUGAUGGUUUUGUGCGAUCUGUCGGACCUUUUUUUUUUCCGACAUCUGCUCAUGUUAGCCAAAUGGUGACCUGUCAGCUUUUCAGUUCGUGAAACCAUAAAAAAAGCUAAUAAACCGGCAACCCCAUCAGAACCGCGCACACUGUAAAAAGCUCAGGUUGAAUCUUAGAACUACUGGAGGUUCAAACUCUGCUCAUUCAUUUUUAGCUUACAGAAAAGGUGCCAAGCCGCCAAAUAAACAAAAGCAAACUGACCAAUAAGUUUUUCUGGUGCCCACCCCCAGAAAAACACACUGAUGUGAGCUACGUACAAGAUGUUUUGACACAAAAGAUCUUUUUUUUUCUCCACAAUUUUGUAGUAGUAAAAAGGGUUGAAUAAUAAAACAUGCAAUAACUAUUUUCUUUUUUUACUUAAAGGAAAAUCUCAAGGUACUCAUAGUGCGUACAGCCACACAGCUGCACGUGCUACUACAAUAAUCCAUACUCUGUCACACUUGUGGGCAAUUUAGAAUCACACAGAAGAGCUCCAAAAGGGAAUCAAACUUAAACUCUGAACUAAGAACUUCUGUAAUCAUAGCAUGUAAUCAUAUAUAUAUUACUGUUACAAAGGCUGAGCCAAGAAAAUUUGUCUGUAUCAUACAAGUAGCUCCCAGUCUCAAAAAGGUUGGUGACCCCUGCCAUAGAGUGUAUGAAAUGUGAUUAGGGUUCAGAAGGCAUUCUGAACAUUUGAGGUCAUUUGGAUGAGUAUAAUUUUUUUUGUUUGUUUUUUUGUUGUUUUUUUUUAAGGUUUGGAGGUCAGGUUAAGCAUUUGUCACCUUUUUGUAAAUGACGUCCUCCUUCCCCUCUUCAACCAACCAUAACAAUAUAAAAAAUGUAAGAUAAGACCUAUGGCGUGGAUGUGCAGAGUUUGGCAAUAAUCCGAUCAGUUAUUUUUGCGUAACAAAUUUCGCACACCUAGUGCUGGACCCUGACAAAAACUAGCUAGACUUGGUUGAUAUUGUGUUUUUAGUUGGAAGGGAAUUGUGGAAUAUUUUAUGGUUUCAAAAUUAUGGGCAACUUGAUUUUGAAGCUAUGUGAGUAGCAAUGUUUUCCUAGACAUAUCCUAAUUGGGCAAAAAAAAUAAA